UACGUAGGUGGCAAGCGUUGUCCGGAUUUAUUGGGUUUAAAGGGUGCGUAGGUGGUCUAUUAAGUCAGUGCUGAAAUAUCCCGGCUUAACCGGGAGGGUGGCAUUGAUACUGAUGGACUUGAGUAAAGUUGAGGUUGGCGGAAUUGACGGUGUAGCGGUGAAAUGCUUAGAUAUCGUCAAGAACACCUAUUGCGAAGGCAGCUAACUAAGCUUUAACUGACACUGAUGCACGAAAGUGUGGGGAUCAAACAGG
rnacentral:rRNA from 1 species